rnacentral:rRNA from 1 species
GAGUUUGAUCCUGGCUCAGAUUGAACGCUGGCGGCAUGCCUUACACAUGCAAGUCGAACGGCAGCACGGGAGCUUGCUCCUGGUGGCGAGUGGCGAACGGGUGAGUAAUGCAUCGGAACGUAUCCUGGAGUGGGGGAUAACGUAGCGAAAGUUACGCUAAUACCGCAUAUUCUGUGAGCAGGAAAGCGGGGGACCUUCGGGCCUCGCGCUCUUGGAGCGGUCGAUGUCGGAUUAGCUAGUUGGUGAGGUAAAGGCUCACCAAGGCGACGAUCCGUAGCAGGUCUGAGAGGAUGAUCUGCCACACUGGAACUGAGACACGGUCCAGACUCCUACGGGAGGCAGCAGUGGGGAAUUUUGGACAAUGGGGGCAACCCUGAUCCAGCCAUGCCGCGUGAGUGAAGAAGGCCUGGUGUAAG